UAUACCCUUACCAGUUAACUCAUCCUCCCACGCAUUCCAACGUCAACUAAUCAGCACCGUCCAUCUGCCGAGAGAUGGCGAACCGCUUCAUUUCCGCCGGAAUCAGACGGUACGCACAACCCCGUCUUCUCUCUCCGCUUUCUGAUUAUCAACCUAAUCAACUCAGCAAAUUUUGCUUCAUCAGUUUUGUGUUCGGUGCACGAACUCUGUGUAGCUCCGUAGAUUCUCGCGCUUCCGCGUUCCACGUGCCGCUCGCGCGAAAACUCAAAUCCCGUAAGCAGAGUCCAUUGCCGGCGCUUAAAAAUUGGGUGGACGAAGGCAACGAUGUUUCACACUCUGAGCUCAGACGCAUCGCCAGAACCCUCGUCAAAUCGAAGUGCUACCACCACGCCCUCGAGGUAGUUAAAUGGAUAGAAAACCAGAAGAAUUUCCAUAUGAUCCCAGCUGAUUAUGCUAUGAAAUUGGAAUUAAUCAUUGAGAAUUAUGAUCUAAUGGAAGCUGAAGAAUAUUUUAUGAAUCUACCUGACUCAGCUGCAAAGAAGGCUGCCUGUCUCACACUUCUACGUGGCUAUAUAAGAGUUAGGGACACUAAUAAAGCCGAGACUUUCAUGGUGAAGCUCUAUGAACUGGGGCUAGUGCUGAGCCCACACCCUUUUAAUGAGAUAAUGAAACUAUAUCUAGCAACAUGUGAGUACAGGAAAGUACCCCUUGUUAUCCAGCAAAUGAAGCGAAAUAAAGUACCCUGCAAUGUUCUGUCCUACAACCUUUGGAUGAAUGCUUGUACUGAGGAAGAAGGAUAUGGGGUUGCAGCAGUUGAGACAGUUUUCAGACAAAUGCAAAAUGAUAGGAAUGUUGAAGUGGGAUGGAGCAGUCUUGCUACAUUAGCCAAUGCUUAUAAGAAAGCAGGACAAUCUAAGAAGGCCAUUCUGGUUCUCAAAGAUGCUGAAAGGAAACUAUCUACCUGUAACCGUCUUGGUUACUUCUUCCUCAUAACACUAUAUGCUUCUUUGAAGGAAAAGGAAGGAGUCUUGCGGUUAUGGGAAGCUAGUAAGGCAGUUGGUGGAAGAAUCAGUUGUGCCAACUACAUUUGCAUACUGAUAUGCUUGGUGAAGCUUGGGGACAUUGUACAGGCCAAGAGAAUCUUCUUAGAAUGGGAAUCUAAUUGUCAGAAGUACGAUAUCAGAGUGUCUAAUGUUCUUUUGGGUGCAUAUGCGCGCAAUGGAUCAAUGGAAGAAGCUGAAUCAUUACAUCUUCACACAUUGCAGAAGGGUGGUUGUCCAAACUAUAAGACAUUGGAAAUUCUCAUGGAAGGAUAUGUGAAUUGGCAAAAAAUGGAUGAGGCUAUUAUUACCAUGAAAAGAGCUUUGGCUAUGAUGAAAGAUUGCCAUUGGAGGCCGCCACAUGGACUUGUGUUAGCCAUUGCAGAGUAUUUGGAGAAAGAUGGGAAUCUCAAAUAUGCAAACAAGUAUAUUACAGAUCUCCGUAAUUUUGGUCUUUUUAGUUUAUCAUUGUAUAAAAUAUUGCUUAGAAUGCACCUUUCUGCCAACAAACCACCUUUCCAUAUCCUUAAAAUGAUGGAUGAAGAUAAAAUUGAGAUGGAUAACGAGACACUUUCCAUUCUUAAAGCUUUCACUGGAUGUGUUCAAGCUGAAGUGUUUGGAGGUGAAGCAGUAACCUGGAACUCAGUUUCAUUCUUAGCUUUCUUAACAUGAUCGCUAUUAACUAAAUCUAAGAAAUAGCGAGAAUUCUUGAUUUCUCUCGAUAUCUCUCUCAAUUCGAAAAUCCGAUGCCUUAGUAGCGUGGCUGGCUCACUUGUUUCCUAUAGGUUUUUUAAUGGGGUUAAAACAAGUGGAGCUCAAAUCAACAGGUGCUGAAAGAUUUUGUGGGAUCUGAAUCAGAAAAGCUUUGUGGUCAAACCCAGAAGUUUCAUCCAUUCAUCAAUCAGUUCCAGCAUAUUGGUAAAUAUCAUUUCAACAUGUUUCAUUGAUUUAAACAUAAAGAGAGCAUCAUAUAACAUGGUCGUGUGAAUAUAUUAAGAUGGUCAAUGGCAAUCUUUCAAACUACUCUUACAGGCGAGUAAAUGUCUUCCCUUCAAUAUUACAAGAAACGAUAAUUUCCUUGUAGUUUUCAGCAUUUACAUUACAGCAUGAUAGGUUGGCCAUGAGCUCAGGUACGUGUCUAUUUAUGGCAAUACUUUUAUUGAUAUAUCAUACAAGCAUAUCAAACAUUAACUAAGCAUCACAUAUUUCAUGAUAUGGAUGGGGCAAAGCCUUUCAAGUGGAUGAAGAUGUCAAGAGCUUGUGGAAGGCCUUGUUGUGUUUAAGCAAUUUAUCACAAGGUGGCAUGCAUUCUUUGAUAACAGGAAGCUCAAGAAAAUCAUCGAACCAAGCAUCAAGCUUAGCCAUCAACUCUUUAUCAAUGAGGUUUAUACCCACAAUUUCCUCCACUAUUCGUACCCAGUAUCCAAGCCAGGCAA